rnacentral:rRNA from 1 species
ACUCAAAUGAAUUGACGGGGACCUGCACAAGCGGUGGAGCGUGUGGUUUAAUUCGAUAGCAAGCGAAGAACCUUACCAAGAUUUGACAUCUCUGGAAAGCCCUGGAAACAGGGCCGUGCCGCAAGGAGCCAGAAGACAGGUGCUGCACGGUUGUCGUCAGCUCGUGCUGUGAAGUGUCCCGUUCAGUCGGUUAACGAGCGCAACCCCUAUUCUGUGUUGAAUUUUUCACAGAAAACUGCCCCAGUUAAUGGGGAGGAAGGUGGGGAUUACGUCAAAUCAGCGUGGCUCUUACAUCUUGGGCUACACACGCGCUACAAUGGGAAGGACAAUGGGUUGCCAAGCCGCGAGGCGGAGCUAAUCCCACCAAACCUUCCCUCAGUUCGGAUUGGAGGCUGCAACUCGCCUCCAUGAAGUCGGAAUCGCUAGUAACGGCCGGUCAGCCAUACGGCCGUGAAUACGUUCUCAGGUCUUGUACACACCGCCCGU